rnacentral:rRNA from 1 species
CUACGGGCGGCAGCAGUGAGGAAUAUUGCACAAUGGGCGGAACCCUGAUGCAGCAACGCCGCGUGGAGGAUGACGCAUUUCGGUGUGUAAACUCCUUUUAUAUGUCAAGAAAAUGACGGUAGCAUAUGAAUAAGCACCGGCUAACUCCGUGCCAGCAGCCGCGGUAAUACGGAGGGUGCAAGCGUUACUCGGAAUCACUGGGCGUAAAGGACGCGUAGGCGGGUUGGAAAGUCAGGUGUGAAAUCCUAUGGCUCAACCGUAGAACUGCAUUUGAAACUUCUAAUCUAGAGUAUGGGAGGGGGAGAUGGAAUUAGUGGUGUAGGGGUAAAAUCCGUAGAUAUCACUAGGAAUACCUAAAGCGAAGGCGAUCUCCUGGAACAUUACUGACGCUAAGGCGUGAAAGCGUGGGGAGCAAACAGGAUUAGAUACCCGCGUAGUC